AAACUGCGAAUGGCUCAUUAAAUCAGUUAUCGUUUAUUUGAUAGUACCUUACUACUUGGAUAACCGUGGUAAUUCUAGAGCUAAUACAUGCUGAAAACCCCGACUUCGGAAGGGGUGUAUUUAUUAGAUAAAAAACCAAUGCCCUUCGGGGCUCCUUGGUGAUUCAUAAUAACUUCUCAGAUCGCAUGGCCUUGCGCCGGCGACGGUUCAUUCAAAUUUCUGCCCUAUCAACUUUCGAUGGUAAGGUAUUGGCUUACCAUGGUUUCAACGGGUAACGGGGAAUUAGGGUUCGAUUCCGGAGAGGGAGCCUGAGAAACGGCUACCACAUCCAAGGAAGGCAGCAGGCGCGCAAAUUACCCAAUCCCGACACGGGGAGGUAGUGACAAUAAAUACUGAUACAGGGCUCUUUUGGGUCUUGUAAUUGGAAUGAGUACAAUUUAAACCUCUUAACGAGGAACAAUUGGAGGGCAAGUCUGGUGCCAGCAGCCGCGGUAAUUCCAGCUCCAAUAGCGUAUAUUAAAGUUGUUGCAGUUAAAAAGCUCGUAGUUGAACCUUUGGCCUGGCUGGCAGGUCCGCCUCACCGCGUGCACUUGUCCGGCCGGGCCUUCUCUUCUGGAGAACCGCAUGCCCUUCACUGGGUGUGUUGGGGACCAGGACUUUUACUUUGAAAAAAUUAGAGUGUUCAAAGCAGGCCUUUGCUCGAAUACGUUAGCAUGGAAUAAUAGAAUAGGACGUGCGGUCCUAUUUUGUUGGUUUCUAGGACCGCCGUAAUGAUUAAUAGGGACAGUCGGGGGCAUCAGUAUUCAAUUGUCAGAGGUGAAAUUCUUGGAUUUAUUGAAGACUAACUACUGCGAAAGCAUUUGCCAAGGAUGUUUUCAUUAAUCAGUGAACGAAAGUUAGGGGAUCGAAGACGAUCAGAUACCGUCGUAGUCUUAACCAUAAACUAUGCCGACUAGGGAUCGGGCGGUGUUAUUAUUUUGACUCGCUCGGCACCUUACGAGAAAUCAAAGUGUUUGGGU
rnacentral:rRNA from 1 species